ACUCCUACGGGAGGCAGCAGUAGGGAAUAUUGGUCAAUGGGCGAAAGCCUGAACCAGCCAUGCCGCGUGUCAGAUGAAGGUCCUCUGGAUUGUAAAUGACUUUUCUACGGGAAGAAUGAGCCGUCUGCGGACGGAAGUUGACGGUACCGUAGGAAUAAGCACCGGCUAACUACGUGCCAGCAGCCGCGGUAAUACGGAGGGGUGCGAGCGUUAAUCGGAAUUACUGGGCGUAAAGCGCAUGCAGGUGGUUUGUUAAGUCAGAUGUGAAAGCCCGGGGCUCAACCUCGGAAUUGCAUUUGAAACUGGCAAACUAGAGUACUGUAGAGGGGGGUAGAAUUUCAGGUGUAGCGGUGAAAUGCGUAGAGAUCUGAAGGAAUACCGGUGGCGAAGGCGGCCCCUGGACAGAUACUGACACUCAGAUGCGAAAGCGUGGGGAGCAAACAGGAUUAGAUACCCUGGUAGGAUAGCG
rnacentral:rRNA from 1 species